UACGUAGGGUGCAAGCGUUGUCCGGAAUUAUUGGGCGUAAAGAGCUCGUAGGCGGCUUGUCGCGUCGGAUGUGAAAGCCCGGGGCUUAACUCCGGGUCUGCAUUCGAUACGGGCAGGCUAGAGUUCGGUAGGGGAGAUCGGAAUUCCUGGUGUAGCGGUGAAAUGCGCAGAUAUCAGGAGGAACACCGGUGGCGAAGGCGGAUCUCUGGGCCGAUACUGACGCUGAGGAGCGAAAGCGUGGAGAGCGAACAGG
rnacentral:rRNA from 1 species